CAAAUACCAAAAAGCAAAGAUUAAAAAUCUAGAGUAGAGUUUAGACUCUCAAAAAUACAAUAUUGAAAAUGCAGAGUUGCGGAAAAGAUGGCGGAGGAAUAGGACGGGAAGACUACUUUCUCCCUCACAAAUUCCUCAAAAGAACAUUUCAACGCUGAGCAAACUUCACAAAACAACUUCUGUAGGCUGGCAGAGGACAUCAGGUAACCAGAAAAGCAGACCAUUGUCUUCAAAAACAGCUUUGGUUGUCAAGACUAUAUUUCUUGGACUCCAAAAUCACUGCAGAUAGCGACUGCAGCCGUGAAAUUAAAAGAUACUUGCUCCUUGGAAGAAAAGCUAUGACGAUCUUAGACAGCAUAUUAAAAAGCAGAAACAUUACUGACAAAGGUUCAUCUGGUCAAAGCUAAGAUUGAAAGCAAGCUGAAGCUCCAAUACUUUGGCCCCCUGAUGGGAAGAUUGGACUCAUUGGAAAAGACCCUGAUACUGGGAAAGAUUGAAAGCAGGAGGAGAAGGAGACAGCUGAGGAUGAGAUGGUUGGAUGUCAUCACAAACUCAAUGGACAAGCUCCAGGAGUUAGUCAUGGCUAGGGAAGCCUAGUGUACUGCAGUCUAUGGGGUCACAAAGAGUCAGACGUGACUGAGCAGCUAAACUAAACUGACUGAUAAGUGAGGAUAUAGAUUUGUUUUUCUCUGUCUGGCUUCUUUUAUAAUGAGAUCCAGCUUUAUCCACAUUGUCACAAAAGGUUUCUGCUGAUAAAUUGGUUGGAGAUUUUAUUGAAGACUCCGUGUACUAUCCAACCCCUGAGGCAACCAUGGCUUAUGGAAUCAAUGCUUCCAGUGAAGAAGAGCUCAACAUCUCCGCAGCAAAAGCAGGUCUUGAUUCAUGACAACAGGCAAGGAACUUCCUUGCUCCUGGUGCAGCUUUUUC
ensembl:lncRNA